GCCAGCUUAGCUCAGUUGGUAGAGCAGUGCAUUCGUAAUGCAAAGGUCACAGGUUCGACUCCUGCAGUUGGCA
rnacentral:tRNA from 2 species